rnacentral:rRNA from 1 species
AACGAACGCUGGCGGCGUGCCUAACACAUGCAAGUCGAGCGCGAAAGGGGUAACCCGAGUAGAGCGGCGCACGGGUGCGUAACACGUGGGUAAUCUGCCUCGAGGAGCCGGAUAACCAUCCGAAAGGAUGGCUAAUACGGCAUAAGCCCCCGGAGUCUUCGGACUCUGAGGGAAAAGGGUGGCCUCUGUUUACAAGCUACCGCCUUGAGAUGAGCCCGCGGCCCAUCAGCUAGUUGGCGGGGUAAUGGCCCACCAAGGCAACGACGGGUAGCGGGUCUGAGAGGACGAUCAGCCACACUGGAGCUAGGACACGGUCCAGACUCCUACGGGAGGCAGCAGUGGGGAAUUUUGCGCAAUGGGCGAAAGCCUGACGCAGCAACGCCGCGUGUGUGAUGAAGGUCUUCGGAUUGUAAAGCACUUUCGACCGGGACGAAAAAGCGGGUGCUAAUCAGCCCGCCUUGACGGUACCGGGAGAAGAAGCACCGGCUAACUCUGUGCCAGCCGCCGCCGUAAUAC